CCUUUAAUUCACUAAGCAUAUUAUAUAUCAGCGUAUAUAUUAAUCAUUUUCAAAAAUCUCACCAUCUUCAUUGCAUUUUCAGGGUUUAUAAAAUUGUCGAUGUAGUUGGGCAGUAUACCGUUUAUCAAUCGCUCGUUAUUGUAUAGUGGGCAAUGGCUUAUAAUAUGAGUAACCGUGAUGGCCGUAUUGCAGUGAUUACAUUGUCGUGACGGUGCAUUUUCACGUUGUCCUCUCUCGAAGCAUCUUGUAGCGUGUAUAGUGUCGUUGGAAUAGGUUUUAUCUGCGACAGGUGUCUUCUGAUGUCACUUGCCACCAUGAAAUUUACAUCUGUCUGCUGGUUCGAUAUCGCUCUACGAGCGGCCUGGUCUGCUUGUUCGUUGCCAAAGAUACCAACGUGGCUAGGGACCCAAAUAAAUUCGAGUGAUUUACCUUGCUCCGAAAUACGAUGUAUAGCAGACUGUAGCAUGAUGUUCAUCGGAUCUGUGUUGUAGAUUUUCUUUAGCCCAUUUAGGAUAUUCAUACAGUCCGUAACAACUAAAAAUCGGUUGUUUUCCAUCAUUGAACAGUAUAGCACAGCCUGCCAUAGGGCAUACUGCUCUGCAAAGGACCCAUCCGUGUACACAGGUUGGUAUGAGGGAUAUUCGUUAAGGAGGUUCUCGUAUGCCUGCAGGUAAGUGGGUUGUUUUGUAAUCUCUUUUUUGUAGCGCAUUAGAUCUUUUCUUAUUUUUAUUUCAGGUACCUUCCACGGGACAGUGUCCAGCAUCAUUUCAUGGAGCGGCGCUGGAGGGACUAUUCGGCGUUGCUCGAGAUGUUCCUGGAAUCUGAUACAGGCAGGGCGGGUAAUGGUAGGUUUCAGUCUGUACAACUGCAUGUCUAUGUUGAGUAUCACCCUAUUAGGAUGUAAUGGCAAUGAUGAAAUUUUAGUCAUAUAGCUUGCAAUUAGU